rnacentral:lncRNA from 1 species
GAGGUGAAUAUAAAAUUGCAUAAUACACAAUCCCAUACACGUGUAUGCAUGUGUGCCUCUGUGUGUGUGUGUGAUAUAAUAGGGUUAGGUCUUAGUAAAAAAGGAGUAAAAAACUUCUAUAAACUAUAGGUACUCAUUGUUUUACAACCAGACCCAAUUCAUAAAAAUGCUGCAAUAUACUUUUCAGUAAGCAAUAUAAGCUGUAGGAAAGAACUCAGUAAGUUAUUUGUGGGCCUCAUGAGUAACUUCCUUCUUUUACUAAAACCAAACAACAUUAAAACUAAACACUGUGCCUAAAAGGAAUGGGGAGCAAUCAAACUCAGAAUCUGAGAAAGAGAACUGUAAUGUAACUAGGACCUUGUAAAGGCCAUUUCCAGGUACCUGUGGCAUUAGAACUCAAGUCAGGAGGUUCUUGCUGCAUCCUGUUUGGAGAAAAUAAUACCUCAGUGAUGCCAUCAAUGUCAGUCAUCCCCCAGGACACCACAGAGGCCAUAUCUUGUCAUAAGGAAUUCACCAACCUGAGUCUCAGCCCCUUUGUGGCACCUUCCUGUUGUUCUCCUUGGAGAUGAUAUUUAGCAAUUGGAAAUAUGGUAGCAUGCACUCAGCUCUCUCCAAUCAUUCCAAAGGAGUAUUUUAUUUUUUCUGGAGAGAAUUUUGGGGUUGAGGGCGGAUGGAUUGGGAAUUUUGUGGAUUCUGUUUUAAGAAGCCAUUCUCUUCCUCUCCUUUCAUAUUUUUCUUCUUUAAUUUCUUUGUUCUUCUUGCUCCUCCUCUAUGUGUUCUCCUUCUCUUCCCCUGUCUUUUCAUGUUCUUUUUUUUGUUCUCCUCACCUCUGUCUGCCUUUCCUAACUCUCCCCAGAGGUGGUGGUUAAUGACAGUCACUGAGUAAGAAGCAGCCAGAGAGAUGGAUGCCAAGGUCAAUGCUGGGGAACCAAACCACUUAUCACAGUGAUGCUUUUCCUUCCUUUUUCCUUGUUCUUCUCCCCUGGAUGGACCAAGGUCGUGGGCUUUUCUGCCACUGUGCUAUGAUGGAGUGGAGUCAGAGAAAGAGGAAAUAGGAAACAAAUGGGGCUUGACUUAAUCACAUCAGGAGUUCAGUUGUUGGAAUACCAAGUUAAUUUAUGGUAUCAUGGCAUGGAAAAUUAUAUUUCAGGAUGCAGAAUUAAAUCAAGUCAUAUCUCAUGGUUUUUCAGAUACAGUCUUCUGAGGAGGGGACUAAAAGAGACAUUGCAACCCUCUGUCUGCCCCAUAGCCAGAAAAAUAGUUGUUUUCCAAAUUUCCAAGGCCUGGUUUGUUUUGGCUGAACUCCAUGUGCCUGGUAAUGGACUGGUCUGGCCUGGUUGUCCUAAGGGAGGAUCAAGUACUUCCCACAGCAGUGACUCUAGAGGGAACGGAGCUGGUCUCAAAUAAACCUCUGAGCUUGCCAAUAAGAAACUCAGUUCUUUCUUCCAUGCCCCUCCUUGCCAGUGGUACAGUAGUGCAAGCAGGUGACUAGAUUCAGAAGCUUAUUUCCUGAUGCUGGGAGGCGACUAGCGGAAUCACAGAACCUUAAAAAGGGAAAGGAUUUUAGGGGUCAUCAGCACUACCACUGACUGGUGUUCUUCCUUGUUCUCAGCUUUGCCCUCUACUAAACAGCAGCAGGGAUGU